UGGGUAAUCAGGACAGUGCAUAU
rnacentral:miRNA from 2 species